AUACGGAGGAUGCAAGCGUUAUCCGGAUUUAUUGGGUUUAAAGGGUGCGUAGGCGGUUUGCUAAGCGGGAGGUGAAAUGCCGGCGCUCAACGUCGGAAGUGCCUCCCGAACUGGUGGACUUGAAUGACUCUGCCGUGGGAGGAAUGUGUAGUGUAGCGGUGAAAUGCUUAGAGAUUGCACAGAACACCGAUUGCGAAGGCAUCUCACGAAGGGUUGAUUGACGCUGAGGCACGAAAGCGUGGGGAUCAAACAGGAUUAGAUACCCUGGUAGUCCACGCAGUAAACGAUGAUGGCUAACCGCUGGGCUUAUCAGUUCAGUGGCCAAGCGAAAGCGAUAAGCCAUCCACCUGGGGAGUACGACCGCAAGGUUGAAACUCAAAUGAAUUGACGGGG
rnacentral:rRNA from 1 species